AACUGCAGCCAUAUCACCCUGCAGCCCAAGACUGGUUGCCCACUGAAGCUAAGUAGGGUUGAGCCUGGUCAGUACCUGUAUGGGAGACCUCCUGGGAAAACUAGUUGCUGCUGGAA
rnacentral:rRNA from 1 species